UCAACAUUGCCCAAAAAUCUACAAAAGUUUGUUUAGAACGGCCACAAAAUCUUUAUAAUGCUGCUUUGGAGACACAUGCGGCGUAAAAAUUACAUAAAACAAGUGGAUGAGCGUCGGGAAUACACGGGACGACAUCAGACGAGCACGGACUAAGCGUUUUGUCUGCUCAUCAAUAGAGUAGCAAAGCGUAAUCUGCAGUAAAAGAGAAUGGCCCUCGAUCCAUGGAGGAGUCUAGACGACCUGCCCACUAUUCAGUCGAAUGCAGAUAACGGAAACAUUUGACCAAACUACUAUUGUAGUUAAGAACUUAAUUGUGAGAAUGGAGGACGGAUUUUACUAUAUAUAUGUAAACGCCGUAAAAAGCUUCCGCUACGGAAAGCGCAUUUGUAAGCGAAAAUAAACGUCCCACAAGCGACAAAGGAAAUAAUAAAACUGAAGCUCAAUUUAAAUAAAACCCUAUUGCUUGUAUGAUUGUCUCACGCGGAUAAAAUGUAACAGGAAGUAAUUUUUUAUUUUAUCUUUUUAUGUGAGCCACGGCCGUAGCGCGCGACGAAGUCGUGAAAUAUGUAGGAAGUUUUCCAGCUUUAGAGUAAAAAGGAAAUAAUAAUUUUCUUUAUGUUUUUGAUAUAGUGAUUGUGAGAUUCAAUAUCUCAAGAUACUACAAAAAUACUUACAUGAUUAUACUGUGUUGAAUAAAAUACAAAGUGAUUG